GCUGGAAGCCCCACCCCAGUGCAAGGAGAAGGAGACAAGUGGUUGUAUCUUCCCUGAGGCUGGAACACAAGUUUUGCACAAAAUAACUUUUCCUGCACAGUUGUACCCCUGGUGGAGGCAGAGGAGACAUUCUCUGGAGUGGGGUGGGAUGGGAUCAGCAGUGGCAGGCAGCUGCUUUGGGCACAGCAGGGUUAAUUUUAGCUGUAGGUUGUCCCAGUGGUGAGCCCAGUGUUCAGGAGGGAGAGCACUUCUCACUCAGGGCAGCACACAGUGAAAUUCCUGUCGUCCUUCAGGCACAGAGGACUGAGAGGGAAAAUGCUGCAUCCAGCUCUGAAGCUGUGGAGCUUCACUGCUUUAGAAGGCUGAGAUCUGGUUCAGUCUCUGCUGAGGUCUCAGAGGACAAGAGGAGCCAUAGGCAGCUGAAAACAACUGGUGAAAAGGAACAACAGAACUCUUUCCACUUCCCCUUGAGUGUGGUGUUAAACAUGGACAAAUGACCCAGAGAACCUUCAGGGACAUUGGACACCACCAAGAGGGCUUGGGUUGUCAGUCCUUCCUGCUCUGACAAACUGCAGUGUGUGUGUGGCUCUGGGGACUUAUAAUUUCAUUCCAGAAAUUAGAGCUGAAAUCCCCGGCUACAUCUGCUUUGGCCAGAGAAGAGCCUCAGUCAAAGGCCACAUUGCUCCUGCUGAACUUGAGGGAUGCCAACAAUGGUGCCAGGUUUGCCACAUACUGAUAAUGACAGCCCUGCCUGGUGCCCAAAGCAGCCAGAGCACCCGGCCUCCUCUUCCUCUGCAAACCAACAUUUCCCUCGGCUGGGAGAGGUCCUGGCUGAGGUUGGGACAUCUCCCAGCACAUCUCUGCCUGAGCCUCCAGACAUCUGGGUGAGGCACAAGGGCAGCAGACAAAGACCAAAGGACUUUCUGAGCCUCAUGUUCGGAUGGAGGAGGUAACGAAAGGGAAGCUGUGACCUGGCCCUGAAUCAAAUACUUCACAACAGACAGCAUUAGAAAAUAAAAUAAAUUCCAG
rnacentral:lncRNA from 1 species